rnacentral:rRNA from 1 species
GACCGGGGUUUAAUAGGUUCGUAGCUCGCUGUUUGAGAAGGUUUCGAUCGUUCGACUUCUCUUGUGUUCGUCUGUGCUUUCGGAGGUCCUGACUCGUACCGCCGCUUCCGUGUUUCACCUAAGCACGGAGGUUACGCUCCCAGAAGGCCGGUCGUCUUACUAGCUGGUAUACGAGGCCGCCUUCGAUCGGUUUUCCGCGGCAGCGGAUCGUCUCCAUUUCGCAGCAGCUGGCCUUGUUGGGGACUCAGGUCGUUGCCGUUGUUGAGUAGCUCUUGCGGUAUGUUUCGUCUGCUACCAUUUUGCUGGACUGUUUUUCCGUUCCCGUAUAGAUCCGCCACUUACCAGACACACGCCUUCUUCUUAGUACACUUAUUUAUAGUCAAACAGGAUCAAAUAGACAGUUCAUGAUAUAAAGCACCUGGUUCUUUGGAGAUAUGGAUUUAUACCUAUUACCUAACAUAUCGAACACUUUCAACAGUACAUCUGUUCAUCAUAAAGUAAGCAAGUACGUACAAGAAGUAAAUAUAGAUAUGGAAUCAAUACAACCACUUAAACAUGCCACCCAGUAUAUACCUUAACAU